rnacentral:rRNA from 1 species
CCUACGGGAGGCUGCAGUGGGGAAUAUUGGACAAUGGGCGCAAGCCUGAUCCAGCCAUGCCGCGUGAGUGAUGAAGGCCUUAGGGUUGUAAAGCUCUUUUGUCCGGGAAGAUAAUGACUGUACCGGAAGAAUAAGCCCCGGCUAACUUCGUGCCAGCAGCCGCGGUAAUACGAAGGGGGCUAGCGUUGUUCGGAAUCACUGGGCGUAAAGCGCACGUAGGCGGACCAUUAAGUCAGGGGUGAAAGCCUGGAGCUCAACUCCAGAACUGCCUUUGAUACUGAUGGUCUCGAGUUCGGAAGAGGUUGGUGGAACUGCGAGUGUAGAGGUGAAAUUCGUAGAUAUUCGCAAGAACACCAGUGGCGAAGGCGGCCAACUGGUCCGAUACUGACGCUGAGGUGCGAAAGCGUGGGGAGCAAACAGGAUUAGAUACCCCGGUAGUC